UACGGAGGGUGCAAGCGUUGUCCGGAUUCAUUGGGUUUAAAGGGUGCGCAGGCGGGCCAUUAAGUCAGGGGUGAAAGACGGUAGCUUAACUAUCGCAGUGCCCUUGAUACUGAUGGGCUUGAAUAAACUAGAGGUAGGCGGAAUGUGACAAGUAGCGGUGAAAUGCAUAGAUAUGUCACAGAACACCAAUUGCGAAGGCAGCUUACUAUGGUUUUAUUGACACUGAGGCACGAAAAGCGUGGGGAUCAAACAGG
rnacentral:rRNA from 1 species